UAGGGAAUCUUCGGCAAUGGACGGAAGUCUGACCGAGCAACGCCGCGUGAGUGAAGAAGGUUUUCGGAUCGUAAAGCUCUGUUGUAAGAGAAGAACGAGUGUGAGAGUGGAAAGUUCACACUGUGACGGUAUCUUACCAGAAAGGGACGGCUAACUACGUGCCAGCAGCCGCGGUAAUACGUAGGUCCCGAGCGUUGUCCGGAUUUAUUGGGCGUAAAGCGAGCGCAGGCGGUUAGAUAAGUCUGAAGUUAAAGGCUGUGGCUUAACCAUAGUAGGCUUUGGAAACUGUUUAACUUGAGUGCAAGAGGGGAGAGUGGAAUUCCAUGUGUAGCGGUGAAAUGCGUAGAUAUAUGGAGGAACACCGGUGGCGAAAGCGGCUCUCUGGCUUGUAACUGACGCUGAGGCUCGAAAGCGUGGGGAGCAAACAGGAUUAGAUACCCUGGUAGUCCACGCUGUAAACGAUGAGUGCUAGGUGUUAGACCCUUUCCGGGGUUUAGUGCCGUAGCUAACGCAUUAAGUACUCCGCCUGGGGAGUACGACCGCAAGGUUG
rnacentral:rRNA from 1 species